rnacentral:rRNA from 1 species
UAAUACAUGCAAGUCGAACGAGCUGCGCCUAAUGAUAGUUGAUGCUUGCAUUAACUUGACUUAAGUUAGCAGCGAGUGGCGAACUGGUGAGUAACACGUGGAUAACCUGCCCAGAAGAAGGGGAUAACACCUGGAAACAGAUGCUAAUACCGUAUAACAACGAAAACCACAUGGUUUUCGUUUGAAAGAUGGCCUUUGUGCUAUCGCUUUUGGAUGGAUCCGCGGCGCAUUAGCUAGUUGGUGAGAUAAAGGCUCACCAAGGCAAUGAUGCGUAGCCGACCUGAGAGGGUAAUCGGCCACAUUGGGACUGAGACACGGCCCAGACUCCUACGGGAGGCAGCAGUAGGGAAUCUUCCACAAUGGACGAAAGUCUGAUGGAGCAAUGCCGCGUGAGUGAAGAAGGGUUUCGGCUCGUAAAACUCUGUUGUUAGAGAAGAACGGGCGUGAGAGUAACUGCUCACGUCGCGACGGUAUCUAACCAGAAAGUCACGGCUAACUACGUGCCAGCAGCCGCGGUAAUACGUAGGUGGCAAGCGUUGUCCGGAUUUAUUGGGCGUAAAGCGAGCGCAGGCGGUCUUCUAAGUCUGAUGUGAAAGCCUUCGGCUUAACCGGAGAAGUGCAUCGGAAACUGGGAAACUUGAGUGCAGAAGAGGACAGUGGAACUCCAUGUGUAGCGGUGAAAUGCGUAGAUAUAUGGAGGAACACCAGUGGCGAAGGCGGCUGUCUAGUCUGUAACUGACGCUGAGGCUCGAAAGCAU